AGCAGCCGCGGUAAUACGAAAGGGGCAAGCGUUAUUCGGUGUAAUUUGGUGUAAAGGGUUCGUAGGCUGUAAUAAGGUUGUUUAAAUUGAAAUUAAGAGACCUAAUCUCUUUUAAGGUAUUUAAAAACACUUUUACUUGGGUAUAAAAGAGGAUUAUAGAAUUUUAAAGGGAGAGGUAAAAUUUUAAGAUCUUUAAAGGAAUAUCAAAAGCGAAAGCAAUAAUCUGGUUUAUUUUUACCGACGCUGAGGAACGAAAGAAUAGGUAGCAAACAGGAUUAGAGACCCUGGUAGUCUAUUCUGUAAACUAUGAGUGCUCGUAUUUAGAAUAUAUAAUUUUAGAUACUAAGUUAACACGUUAAGCACUCCACCUGAGGAGUAUGAUCGCAAGAUUGGAACUCAAAGGAAUUGACGGGGGCCUAUACAAGUGGUGGAGCAUGCGGUUUAAUGCGAUAAUACGCGCGAAAUCUUACCAGUCUUUGAUUUUUUUUUAAGCUUCUUUAAUAUUGUUUAAAGAAUAUUAAAAAAAACAGGUGUUGCAUGGCUGUCGUCAGCUCGUGUUGUGAAAUGUUUGGUUAAGUCCUUUAACGAGCGCAACUCUUUUUUUUAGUUGCUACUUUCAUUUUGAAAGGCACUCUAAAAAUACUAUUUAUGAUGAGUAAAUGGAAGAAGAAUUACGUCAAGUCCUCAUGGCCCUUAUAGACUGGGCUACACACGUGCUACAAUGGUAACUACAAAACGCAGCGAGAAUGUGAAUUGGAGUAAAUCGUCUAAAAGUUAUCUUAGUUCGGAUUGUUAACUGUAACUCGUUAACAUGAAGUUGGAAUCACUAGUAAUCGUAAAUCAGCAUGUUACGGUGAAUUUGUACCUAGGCCUUGUACACACCGCCCG
rnacentral:rRNA from 1 species